UACGGGGGGGGCAAGCGUUGUUCGGAAUUACUGGGCGUAAAGGGCUCGUAGGUGGCCAACUAAGUCAGACGUGAAAUCCCUCGGCUUAACCGGGGAACUGCGUCUGAUACUGGAUGGCUAGAGUUUGGGAGAGGGAUGCGGAAUUCCAGGUGUAGCGGUGAAAUGCGUAGAUAUCAGGUGGAACACCCGUAGCGAAGGCGGCAUUCUGGGCCGAUACUGACGCUGAGGAGCGAAAGCGUGGGGAGCGAACAGG
rnacentral:rRNA from 1 species